CACGUAGGCGGGAUUUCAGGUCGAUUGUGAAAGCCCAGGGCUCAACCUUGGAAUUGCAGUCGAAACCGUUAUUCUUGAAUACCUGAGAGGGUGGGGGAAUUCCUAGUGGAGAAGUGAAAUUCGUAGAGAUUAGGAGGAACACCAGAGGCGAAGGCGCCUACCUGGCAGUGUAUUGACGCUGAGGUGCGAAAGUGUGGGUAGCAAACA
rnacentral:rRNA from 1 species